rnacentral:rRNA from 1 species
GAUGAACGCUGGCGGCGUGCCUAAUACAUGCAAGUCGAGCGAACAGAUGAGGAGCUUGCUCCUCUGACGUUAGCGGCGGACGGGUGAGUAACACGUGGAUAACCUACCUAUAAGACUGGGAUAACUUCGGGAAACCGGAGCUAAUACCGGAUAAUAUAUUGAACCGCAUGGUUCAAUAGUGAAAGACGGUUUUGCUGUCACUUAUAGAUGGAUCCGCGCCGCAUUAGCUAGUUGGUAAGGUAACGGCCUACCAAGGCAACGAUGCGUAGCCGACCUGAGAGGGUGAUCGGCCACACUGGAACUGAGACACGGUCCAGACUCCUACGGGAGGCAGCAGUAGGGAAUCUGCCGCAAUGGGCGAAAGCCUGACGGAGCAACGCCGCGUGAGUGAUGAAGGUCUUCGGAUCGUAAAACUCUGUUAUUAGGGAAGAACAAAUGUGUAAGUAACUAUGCACGUCUUGACGGUACCUAAUCAGAAAGCCACGGCUAACUACG